CGGGCCUGCUUGGUCUUGCUGCGUGGGAAGGGAGGCGCGGCGCAGGCUGCAGGCCGGGGCGGGGAGGGGGAGGAAGAAAAAGAAGUAGCCUCUGGGCUGGAGGAGGUGGAGGGUGGAGGAGGGACACUCAUCGCCCACAGCCCCAGCGCGCCCCAAGGCGCCCCAAGAGAGACUCCACUUCCUGGCUGGAACCCCUGUCUGCUUUUCUCCUUGCCACCCGGCAACCUGUGAUCUCAGCCAGGUGGGAGAGACAGAAGCGAUUCAUGUGCUUUGGGCAAAGAUGAUCAAGGAGCAGCAGAGAAGAGUAAAAAGGCUUUCCUAGAAGCCAUGCUGGAGCCACCAAUGGAAUGAGAAGAGCGGAAAACAAGUUUAGAGGCCAGAACUUAAAUUACUCAAAUUGCCCAGAAGGCCUGUUACCCAGGAUUCAUUCAGAUACAUAGCUAGCCCUGCAGGCUGUGGUAACAACAAGUGAAGGAGGAGCAGAAAGCUGAACUUUGAAUGAAGAUUGGCAUGUUAAUUAAUAUAUAGAGCUGGACUAUUUAGCACUAAGUUUGGAUUUUCUUUUCAAUGACCAGGAGCAUCUGUAGUACUUUUCAUAUAGAAGAGGACGCCAAUGCCCCAUGAACUUGCUCUGAUUUUCGUUCAGGCAAAGAAAAUAGGCAUACCUUCUCUACUCUCAUAAGAAACAAAUAGAGUUUUUUUUUCAUGUUUGUUUUGUUUUUUAAUUGUAGUGUAAUGCAUGAAUCUUGCUUGAUCAACCUACUGGCUGGUGAUAAGUAUUGUUUUUUAAAAUCAAUACCUGAUUUUCUUGCUAAGUUUUGUAUUGUUUGAAUAUAUGUAAUUUAUUUUACUCCACUGAAUCUUUAAUCCAUUGAAAAGUUAAUUCCUUUUUCUUGUCUGUGCUAAGUCUUUGUCUAUGCGCUUAAUCACUUCCUUAAGAUAAAUUCUUACAGGUAAUUGGACUUGGUCAAAGAUCGUGUUUUGAUAUGAUUACCAAUUUUCUUGUCAGAGAUUGUGCUCAUUAAUAUUCUUUCCACAAUAUGCUAGAGCUCUUUAAGAUUCCCAUUGAUUGUUAUCAAGCAUUGUCUGGUACGAAAUAUUUGGAAUGUCUCAAGAGGUCUGCCAGGCUGUUGCUUUGGGCAUAUAAGUGAAAUUAGGGUGGAUGUAUGGCAAGCAACUGAAAAUGUAACAAUGGUAAUGUGAAUGUUUAUCUUCUUUAGUUUAUAAAAUUGUAUGAUUAUUUGAUUUAUUGUAAAUAAUUAUAUGUUACAAAUAAUUAUAUGGUAUAAAUAAUUGUAGGCUAUAAAGAAUUGGAUAUUAUAAAUACAUAAUUAUGCUAAUUAUAUAUUUACAUUUAUAUUAUAUUUAUAGUACAUUAUAUCCACAUACCUUAGUGCAAGGCUAUUUGAACUGUGAUGUGUCUGAAGUGGCUGAGGAUCUUGUGAAAAUACACAUUUUGCUGCAGUAGAUCUGGGUUGCCACCUGAGAAUCUGUAUUCUAGCAAGCUCCUGGAUAGCACCAAUUAUGGAGGCCUGGAGAUGACCUUUCCAAUACCUAGACUUAGUUUGUCUUAAUUCCAUAGUGAUCUAACCAAAUGAUU